rnacentral:rRNA from 1 species
GACGAACGCUGGCGGCGUGCUUAACACAUGCAAGUCGAACGGAAAGGCCCUGCUUUUGUGGGGUGCUCGAGUGGCGAACGGGUGAGUAACACGUGAGUAACCUGCCCUUGACUGUGGGAUAACUUCAGGAAACUGGGGCUAAUACCGGAGAGGAGCUCCUGCUGCAUGGUGGGGGGUGGAAAGUUUCGGCGGUUGGGGAUGGACUCGCGGCUUAUCAGCUUGUUGGUGGGGUAGUGGCUUACCAAGGCUGUGACGGGUAGCCGGCCUGAGAGGGUGACCGGCCACAUUGGGACUGCGAUACGGCCCAGACUCCUACGGGAGGCAGCAGUGGGGAAUAUUGCAGAGUGGGCGGAAGCCUGAUGCGGCAGCGCCGCGUGCGGGAUGCCGGCCUUCGGGUUGUAAACCGCUUUCGCCUGUGACGAAGCGUGAGUGACGGUAAUGGGUAAAGAAGCACCGGCUAACUACGUG